GUACAGUGUUGCCAACAGCAACAUACCCUGAUUUCAUUACUUCAGUCAAAGGCCACUUAUGUGGAUGCUAGAUGCUGGAGAUAAAAUGACCUUGAAGUGGUCUUUGUCCCCUCAAACAUUCUAGUUCUGAAUAUAGUUAGAAAGACCAUGAAAAUACUGCCACUAGUAAAUAAAUUAAUUGAUUAAUUA
ensembl:misc_RNA